GGAGUUAUUGUUUGUGUGUAGGGAUGUGUGGAUAAAAGGGAGCUGAUUUCUAGAGGUGAGAUGGCCCUGUGGUUAACGGUUGGAGGCUGCUGUUGACAAGGCCUGUUGCUGUGGCAGUUUUGCUCCGGAAGUGGCCAUUUUCUGGGCAGGGCUCCACCAGAGCACCAUCUGUCUGUGCCUUUUACUUCCUGUCAAGAGGCAGCAGGCUUCGUGAGCUGGGGAAGUGCCAGAAGCAGCCUUCGAAUUAGACAGACCUGGACCCAAACCCUUUCUCUUCCCCCCACCCAUUUUGGCAUCUUGGCACGAGACUGUCCCCAUUUCUGGAAAGGGUGUUCACAAGAACAGUCUGGCUGGGUUGUUGGGAUGACCGAGUGUGAUCAUGCGUCUCUAUGGCUGGCCAUGGUGUUUAUUCGAUGGCAGGUAUUACCAGGAUGGAGCGAGUCCCAGUAGGAAGGGCCUUUAGGAUGUCAUCUGGUUCCACCCAACAGGGAUGGGAACUGUAAUUCCCCACUCUCCCUGUGGAGAAUCAGGGCGGGCUCCGGAUGGAUGGCCAAAGGCUGCACAGAGCCCUUGUUCUUUAGCCACAGGUUGAAGAUGACAGUAGAUCCUAAGGAACCUCAGUUCUAUCCCGAAAUGCGAAGGCCUUUUUACUCAACCACAAAGAAGUGGUCAGCAGAAAACUGGUCAUCCCGGCCUCUGGGGCCAUGCACAGCACUCAGGAGGAGCUACUAUUUUCCCUGCCUGUUUACAUGCGGCCUGGGGCCUUGUGGGCUAUUUGAAAAUUAGGACACGAGAAGUCCAAGCAGCACCUGACGGCGUCUCACUCUGUUGCCCAGGCUGGAGUGCAAUGGCGAGAUCUCGGCUCACUGCAACCACUGCCUCUUGGGUUCAAGCGAUUCUCCUGCUUCAGCCUCCUGAGUAGCUGGGAUUACAGGCGCCCGCCACCAUGCCUGGCUAAUUUUUUGUAUUUUUAGUAGACACGGGGUUUCACCAUGUUGGCCAGACUGGUCUAAACUCCUGACCUCAGAUGAUCCACUCACCUCGGCCUCCCAAAGUUCUGGGAUUACAGGCAUGAGCCACCACGCCCGGCCUCGUUCUCUUAAUGGUGUUU
rnacentral:lncRNA from 1 species